GUUUUAUAUUGUUACCAUAAGGGUCUAGAAUGGGGGGUCCUUAUUUUUAUUUUUCUGUAUAAUACUAUUUGAUUAUAAGGGAGGCAUAUGUCUUAAUUUUUUAAUAGUUAACGCUUAUUCUGUAAAAUUCUAUCUGUAAAAGAUUAAUUUCUAUUUUCCCAAUUUCUUCUUUUUUCUUUACGCCCCACAAUUCUCUCUUUAUUUUUUUGUUCGUCUUUAUUUUUAUAGUUUUUAGAUAACUAUUCUGAAACUCCAUCUAGACCCCUGAGUUAUAUUAUUUUCUAUGAAUAUGGCUUUUAUUGUAUUUACACCUUGCUUGUCUGUUCAUCCAACCAAUAUUUUUACCCUAUUUUAUCUCCGAUAAAGCUGAACAAAAUUAUUGUAUAUUUGGUCAGCAUUUGACCGUGAUGAACUCUAACACGUGUGACCUCUAUGUGGAUCCACUAGAAAUCCACUUCAAUAUGUAUUGUCUCCGUUAAAUCAUGUUCAAGUAAUUCUCAGCAAAAAAUCUUCAGAUUUACUCUACGUUUAAGUUAAUAUUGAUAAGUUGUAACAUGAAUGUGGGCACUUUUUAUGCCCCUCGCGGUCACCGGAGGCGUUACUCUUGUCCGUCUGUACGUUAGUCCGAAAAUUGGUUUCAAGUCUCUAACGUAAUUAUUUUGUCUCGCCCAAAUGGUAUGAAACUUAUAUUCUGGCAAUGCUUAUCACCAGAAAAUACAGUUAAAUUUUGAAUUUGAGUGGGGUCGUUUCUACCGAUCUCGAGUAAUGCUCCUAUAUAAUUUACAUGCAAGCAGAUGUAUCAUUUAUUUUACAGACACCUACUACCUCUGAUAACUAUUUUUUCCGGUACGUAUUUCCACAAGUGGAGGUAUACUUAUCACGAUUAAACGUACGCUCUUGUUUCUUUCAAUUAUGAUUGAAUAUUUUAACAAAUGCGUCUGUGUGUAGGUGUGUGUGUAU
rnacentral:lncRNA from 1 species